GACGAACGCUGGCGGCGUGCUUAACACAUGCAAGUCGAACGGAAAGGCCCUGCUUUUGUGGGGUGCUCGAGUGGCGAACGGGUGAGUAACACGUGAGUAACCUGCCCUUGACUUUGGGAUAACUUCAGGAAACUGGGGCUAAUACCGGCUAGGUGCUCCUGCUGCAGGGUGGGGGUUGGAAAGUUUGGGCGGUUGGGGAUGGACGGGGGGCUUAUCAGCUUGUUGGUGGGGUAGCGGCUUACGAGGUCUUUGGUGGGUGGUCGGCAUGGGAGGGUGACCGGCGACAUUGGGACUGAGAGACGGCCCAGAGGCCUACGGGAGGCAGCAGUGGGAAAUAUUGCACAAUGGGCGGAAGCCUGAUGAAGCGACGCCGCGUGCGUGAAGACGGCCUUCGUGUUGUAAACCGCUUUCGCCUGUGACGAAGCGUGAGUGACGGUAAUGGGUAAAGAAGCACCGGCUAACUACGUG
rnacentral:rRNA from 1 species